CCCUUAGAUGUCCGGGGCUGCACGCGCGCUACACUGAAGGAAUCAGCGUGCUAAAACCAUUGUCGAAAGGCAUUGGUAAACCCAUUAAAAUCCUACGUGAUUGGGAUCGGGAAUUGCAAUUAUUUCCCUUGAACGAGGAAUUCCCAGUAAGUGUGGGUCAUAAGCUCGCGUUGAUUACGCCCCUGCCCUUUGUACACACCGCCCGUCGCUGCCCGGGACUGAGCCGUUUCGAGAAAAGCGGGGACUGCUGCUGUCGGGGCUUUCGGGCCUUGGCUUCGGUGGAAACCGCUUUAAUCGCAGUGGCUUGAACCGGGCAAAAGUCGUAACA
rnacentral:rRNA from 1 species